rnacentral:rRNA from 1 species
AGAGUUUGAUCAUGGCUCAGAACGAACGCUGGCGGCGUGCCUAAUACAUGCAAGUCGUGCGAGAAAAGGGGGGCAACUCCCUGAGUACAGCGGCGCACGGGUGAGUAACACGUAGGUAACCUGCCCUCGAGCUCGGAAUAACCUACCGAAAGGUGGGCUAAUACCGGAUAUGACCACGGGCGUUUCGGCGCCUGCGGAGAAAGAUGGCCUCUACUUGUAAGCUACCACUCAAGGAUGAGCCUGCGGGCCAUUAGCUAGUUGGCGGGGUAACGGCCCACCAAGGCGAUGAUGGCUAGCUGGUCUGAGAGGAUGGCCAGCCACACUGGGACUGAAACACGGCCCAGACUCCUACGGGAGGCAGCAGUAGGGAAUAUUGCGCAAUGGGCGAAAGCCUGACGCAGCGACGCCGCGUGGGUGAUGAAGGCCUUCGGGUCGUAAAGCCCUGUCGAGGGGGACGAAUCGGUUGCGACCUAACACGUCGUGAUCCUGACGGUACCCCUAAAGGAAGCACCGGCUAACUCCGUGCCAGCAGCCGCGGUAAUACGGAGGGUGCUAGCGUUGUUCGGAAUCACUGGGCGUAAAGCGCGUGUAGGCGGCCCACUAAGUCUGAUGUGAAAGCCCGGGGCUCACCCCCGGAAGUGCAUUGGAAACUGGUGGACUCGAGUCCCGGAGAGGAGGGUGGAAUUCCUGGUGUAGCGGUGAAAUGCGUAGAUAUCAGGAGGAACACCGGUGGCGAAGGCGGCCCUCUGGACGGUGACUGACGCUGAGCGCGAAAGCGUGGGGAGCAAACAGGAUUAGAUACCCUAGUAGUCC